UACGGAGGGGGCUAGCGUUGUUCGGAAUUACUGGGCGUAAAGCGCACGUAGGCGGCUUUGUAAGUUAGAGGUGAAAGCCCGGGGCUCAACUCCGGAAUUGCCUUUAAGACUGCAUCGCUCGAAUUAUGGAGAGGUAAGUGGAAUUCCGAGUGUAGAGGUGAAAUUCGUAGAUAUUCGGAAGAACACCAGUGGCGAAGGCGACUUACUGGACACAUAUUGACGCUGAGGUGCGAAAGCGUGGGGAGCAAACAGG
rnacentral:rRNA from 1 species